rnacentral:lncRNA from 10 species
UUUAUAUUAGCAAAUAAGAAUAUAAUUUUCAUCAAUAUAACAUCUUGACCUGCUUAUCCAUUUAUAUUUAUUUUGUGAUCACAGUCUAUUACUUCAAUUUUCUCUUGGAUUAUGUUCUUAAUAUUUUUCUCACGUUUAAUUCAAUCUUGCUAUUACUAAAUACAUUUAUCCUUCUAAUACUACCAUGCACUUUAUCUCUGCUAUUUCCAGAAAUCUAAAUAAAGUAUAGUGUUCCCACAGUAUUCAUGAGGGAGUGGUUACAGGACACGACCCAUAAUAAAAUCUGUGGAUGAUCAAGUCCUUUAUAUAAAAUGGUGUGGUGUUUUUAUAUAACCUACACACAUCCUUUUGUGUAUUUUAAAUCAUUUCUAGAUUACUUAUGAUACCUAAUGCAAUGUGAAUUCUAUGUAAACAGUUGUUAUAUUGUAUUAUUUGUUUCUAUCAUUUUUAUGGUUGUAUUAUUUUUUUCCAAGUAUUUUUGAUCUGCAGCUGGUUGAAUCCCAGGGUGCAGAACCCACAUAUAAGGAGGGCCAACUGUACUACUUUCUCCAUUGUCCUUGACCACUCUGCUGCUUCUCCAUCUACAUGAAACUCAGAUCAGUCAGUCAAGCCCAGACAUCUUUGAUUGGCAAAGUAUAUAGAUUUCUUCAAGUCUUCUUUCCUCUACAUCUCUCCUGUCCUCAAACAACUCUCAAGUAGUAUCCAUUGAAUCUUUCAAAAUUGUUCUUGACAUUAACUGCAAAGAGUAUUUCCCCAAUCGUUAUCACUCUAGUAACCACAUUUAUUGCAGCUUCAUUUUUGUGUGCACUGGAGCAUUCAUAUAAAUCCAAAUACUUACCCAGGCAGCAGGAUGUCAGAGAUAAAUGAGCAGGCAAAGAUGUUUUUCUCUAAAGUUAUACAAGUUUCACAUAAAUAUAGACUAGAAAGGAUAACAGGACAUUUGAGAUUCAGUCCAUUCGACAGGUCUAACUAAAGUUAAGUUUUGUAAAAUGUAUAAUUAUGUCUUGUCUAUUUUAUGUCUUUUAUCACAUUGAAGUCUUGAAUUAAACAUUUUGUGAUUAUUUAAUAAAAUUUAUGGCAGAAUAUUCACAUUUUUUCCUGAGUUCAUAGUUUUUGAAUCUUACAUUUAUUCUCUUCCUCUAUAACUUUAUCUUUAUGCUGAUUCAGACUUCUAUAUCAUAGAUUUAUGUCAUACUUAAAAUACCUUUCUCUCUAAAAAACAAUUU